CGCGGCUGCGAAUUCGUCCAGGGACCACUCCUAUUUAAAGCCCCUCUCCGUUCGCCUCCGAGUUCUCUCGCAUCCAUCUCUCGCUAGGGUUGCCGAUUUCCUCUGCCGCUCUCUCUCUUAAUCUUGUUCCGUCCUCUUCUUUCCCAUAAGACUUCAGAGAUCGUUGGGGUCUUCGGGUUCUUCGCCGCCGUCAUCGAGACACAGUGUUUUGUCAUUGAAAAGUAUGUUUCCUCUUCUAUUCUCUGUUCGUUGAUUUCUUUUUUCGAUUUUGUGAUUACAUUAGAGGUAUCGUGGAUUGAUCGAUUUCAUAUGGGUCUUUCUGGGGAUAAUACCAUAUGAUUUAGAUCUCGUUUGGUUUUCGCUGUUUUUCUUUUUGAUUCUCCUGUUGUUCUUUUUGUUUGAUGUCUGAAUAAGGACAAGAACUUGUUUUCUUCCUGGUUUUUGAUUUGGUUACAGAUCUGUUCUUUAAUGUGUGUUUGUGUCUUGUUUAUGCGUUUUGUGAUGGAUUAGAAUGUUGAAUCGAUGGCCGUUGUUGAUGGAUGCGGUGAUUUUUCUUUUUAAUCUUUAGGAAGGUAAAUCUUGGUGUUCCUGUUGGUAGAUUCCGGUGACUUUUUUCUUUUUUGCUAAAUCUGUUACCUCCUUUAUGCUUGUUGUGUCAUUAAACAAAAACAAAACUAUGGCUUUGUUGUUUUUUCCCUAUUGAUGCUUGCCUUUAUUUACAGUUCGAUUCUUCUGAAGUUUUUGUUUGAUGUAGAUCUGGUUGUAUAGGGAAUAAUCUUUGUUUAUGAAUGAUCUUAUCUCGUUGGUGCUCUCUUUGCGUUUCCUCUGCUCUUUAAGUUCUGUGAAUCUCCCGUGUUUUUUUUCUUUUUUCUAUUUUAUUCGCUUGUAGAUCAAAACCUCAUCUUUAUUCCUUUGAUUUUUGUAUUUUUUUAUUUUUCUACCAAGAAUUAUUAUCGGUACGCGAUAUGAUAACCGCUAUUUAUCGUGUACAUUUUUACGAGUUUUCAUUCUUGUUUGUAUUUACACA
rnacentral:lncRNA from 1 species